rnacentral:tRNA from 1 species
GGUGGUAUGGCUCAAAUGGUAGAGUGUCUGCUUACCAAGCAGGCAAAGCCUUGAGUUCAACCCCCAGUACUAGUG